rnacentral:rRNA from 1 species
GUGCACCAGUCGAGAAUCUUCGGCAAUGGGCGCAAGCCUGACCGAGCGACGCCGCGUGCGGGAUGAAGGCCUUCGGGUUGUAAUCCGCUGUCAGAGGGGAGGAAAUGGCGGCCCUCAGGGUCGUCUUGACCAAACCUCAGAGGAAGGACGGGCUAAGUUCGUGCCAGCAGCCGGGGUAAGACGAACCGUCCAAACGUUAUUCGGAAUUACUGGGCUUAAAGGGUGCGUAGGCGGCCUGGCAAGUUGGGUGUGAAAGCCCUCGGCUCAACCGAGGAAUUGCGCCCAAAACUGCUAGGCUUGAGGGAGAUAGAGGUGAGCGGAACUUGGGGUGGAGCGGUGAAAUGCAUUGAUAUCCCAAGGAACACCAGAGGCGAAAGCGGCCCACUGGGUCUCUUCUGACGCUGAGGCACGAAAGCUAGGGGAGCGAACGGGAUUAGAUACCCACGUAGUCC